ensembl:rRNA 5S_rRNA 5S ribosomal RNA
GCGUACGGCCAUACCUCUCUGGCUCCGCCUGAUCUCGUCUGAUCUCAGAAGCUAAGCAGAGUAGGGCCUGGUUAGUACUUGUGAUGGAAAGACCGCCUGGGAAUCCCCGGUGCCGUAAGCU